AUUUUUUAUUUCAAAACUUAUUGUAUGUGUAUACAAUGCGUUUUUCAGUAUGUGUAGCAGGAUUGGGGUUUUGGUUGACAUUGAUUGUCUAAUAUAAUGUGCUUGGGGUUUGUGUUUGGAUUCUAGAUUUGUUUCUCCUGUUGAUACUGAGUUUAUAUAUGUACUUUUUCAACGAUUUUCUUUUCGUCAUUUUCGGCCUUGGUGUGUUGUGAACUCAGAAUUUUGGAAAUUUACGGUUUUUUGUUGUAGAAGUUGGGUUUCAGGUUUUGAUGAGCUAGAAUUGGUUGAUCCAUUACAUUAUUUACGGGGUAGCGUGAUGAUUUUUAAAAUUUCUUCUUUGAUGUGGAUUUUUGUUUGUUGUUUUUGGUUUGGUAGCUUAGGGAUCUAAUCGGAGAUAAAAUUGUGAUUUUCUUUAGGUGAUUUUUUGGGGAGCCUUGUUAAAUGCUCUUUAGGCUGGAAAUUAUGCAUGUAUUUGAUUUAUUCUGAGAAUUAGGUUGUUAGAGUUGAAUCUAAUUGACGAGUAUGAACUUCUUGGAUUAAAUCUUUCUUACGUUCUAGUAUUACAGUUAUGUCUAUAGCUUUAUGGAUUAGAUUUUCGCACAUUUAAUUUUGAAAUGGAGUUAAUUUGGCA
rnacentral:lncRNA from 1 species